AUUGAACGCUGGCGGCAUGCCUUACACAUGCAAGUCGAACGGCAGCACGGGUGCUUGCACCUGGUGGCGAGUGGCGAACGGGUGAGUAAUACAUCGGAACAUGUCCUGUGGUGGGGGAUAGCCCGGCGGAAGCCGGAUUAAUACCGCAUACGAUCUACGGAUGAAAGCGGGGGCCCGUCGGGCCUCGCGCUAUAGGGUUGGCCGAUGGCUGAUUAGCUAGUUGGAGGGGUAAAGGCCUACCAAGGCGACGAUCAGUAGCUGGUCUGAGAGGACGACCAGCCACACUGGGACUGAGACACGGCCCAGACUCCUACGGGAGGCAGCAGUGGGGAAUUUUGGACAAUGGGCGAAAGCCUGAUCCAGCAAUGCCGCGUGUGUGAAGAAGGCCUUCGGGUUGUAAAGCACUUUUGUCCGGAAAGAAAUCCUUGGCCCUAAUACGGUCGGGGGAUGACGGUACCGGAAGAAUAAGCACCGGCUAACUACGUG
rnacentral:rRNA from 1 species